rnacentral:rRNA from 1 species
AGGGUUUGAUUCUGGCUCAGGAUGAACGCUGGCGGCGUGCCUAACACAUGCAAGUCGAGCGGGAAAUCUUGGAAUGAACCUUCGGGGGAAUGAAGAGAUGGAGAGCGGCGGACGGGUGAGUAACGCGUAGGCAACCUGCCCUUUGCAGAGGGAUAGCCACUGGAAACGGUGAUUAAAACCUCAUAAUGCUAAGAUGUCACAUGGCAAUUUAGUCAAAGAUUCAUCGGCAAAGGAUGGGCCUGCGUCUGAUUAGAUAGUUGGUGAGGUAACGGCUCACCAAGUCAACGAUCAGUAGCCGACCUGAGAGGGUAAUCGGCCACAUUGGAACUGAGACACGGUCCAA